rnacentral:rRNA from 1 species
GACGAACCGUGCGAACGUUGUUCGGAAUCACUGGGCUUAAAGGGCGCGUAGGCGGCCCGGUAAGUCCGUUGUGAAAGUCAAAGGCUCAACCUUUGAAAGCCGAUGGAUACUGCCGGGCUGGAGUCCGGAAGAGGCGAGUGGAAUUCCUGGUGUAGCGGUGGAAUGCGCAGAUAUCAGGAGGAACACCAAUAGCGAAGGCAGCUCGCUGGGACGGUACUGACGCUGAGGCGCGAAAGCGUGGGGAGCGAACAGG